AGCGAACGCUGACGGCGCGCUUAACACAUGCAAGUCGAACGCGAACGAGAUCCUUCGGGAUCUUUAGUAGAGUGGCGGACGGGUGAGUAUAACGUGGGUAACAUGCCUCAGAAUGCGGAAUAACUUCUCGAAAGGGGAGCUAAUACCGCAUAAUAUCAUUCUUACUUAAGUAUAGAUGAUCAAAGGUGGCCUCUUCAUGAAAGCUAUCGUUUUGAGAGUGGCCCGCGCCCCAUUAGCUAGUUGGUGAGGUAACGGCUCACCAAGGCUCCGAUGGGUAGCCGACCUGAGAGGGUGAUCGGCCACACUGGGACUGAGACACGGCCCAG
rnacentral:rRNA from 1 species